rnacentral:rRNA from 1 species
UACCCCACGGGACGCAGCAGUGGGGGAUAUUGCACAAUGGGGGGAACCCUGAUGCAGCGACGCCGCGUGAGCGAUGGAGUACUUCGGUAUGUAAAGCUCUGUCAGCAGGGAGGAAAAUGACGGUACCUGACCAAGAAGCCCCGGCUAAAUACGUGCCAGCAGCCGCGGUAAUACGUAGGGGGCAAGCGUUAUCCGGAUUUACUGGGUGUAAAGGGAGCGUAGACGGCGAUGCAAGUCUGAAGUGAAAGCCCGGGGCUCAACCCCGGGACUGCUUUGGAAACUGUAUGGCUGGAGUGCUGGAGAGG